rnacentral:rRNA from 1 species
AGCUCCAAUAGCGUAUAUUAAAGUUGUUGCAGUUAAAAAGCUCGUAGUUGGAUUUCUGGUUUGAUGCCCUGGCCCGCUGCCUUUUUGGCAGUGUGUGCCGGCUGUGCGUCUGCCAUCCUUCUAGAGAACGUUCCUACCCUUAAUUGGGCCGGGUUCGAGAUCUAGAUCUUUUACUUUGAAAAAAUUAGAGUGUUUAAAGCAGGCAUUUGCUGUGAAUACAUUAGCAUGGAAUAAUAAUCUAGGACUUCGGUUCUAUUUUGUUGGUUUCUAGUACUGAAGUAAUGAUUGAUAGGGAUCGUUGGGGGUGCUAGUACUGAGCGGCCAGAGGUGAAAUUCUUGGAUUCGCUCAUGACUAACUUAUGCGAAAGCAUUCACCAAGGAGGUCUUCU